AGUACAACUUCUAAAAAAAGUCCCUGCCCAUAGGCUCACAAUAAGACAUGACACGACACAUGAGGAAAAAGGAAUGGAAGGGAAAGGAUUCUAUGCAAGUAGAAGAUGGUCUUUGAGUUUUUCAGGUGUUGCUAAAGCACAGUACAUGGUUAUGUAUGACUUCACACGUGUGAGGAAUACCAAACAAGAGAUGGAUUGAUUCCAUAAUCAGAAGCCACAGACCCGAACUUAAAAGAUGUGAACAGUGUGGUUUAUAACAGAUGCUAUUGGAGGUUGCUGAUUCAUAGGGUUGCCAUAAAACGUAAUCGACUUGAAGGCACAUAACAACAAAUGAGUUUCAGAUGGUGACAUAGCAACAGAGUAUGCUGCAAUGAUGGUCAAGCACAACAAGAGCAAGUGUGGAUGAAAAAAGUGUUUCCAGUUAGGUAACAGAAGUAAAAA